rnacentral:misc_RNA from 1 species
AACCGUGCCAAGUGAAACACAAAAAAAAAUCGCACCAUAUAAAAAAAACUCAAACAUUAACACAAAGAUACCAUUAGUUUUUUUUGUUGUUUUUUUCUCUCACCUGUCCCCUGCACUUCGCCAAAAUGCCCCUCCGACACCAGCCAGAAACGCUACAGAAAAACGCCAUGAAAUCAAUAGCCAUGAACUUUGACUACAUAUGCUACAGGACGGAGAGCAAGGCUGAAAUGGCUAAGAUGGUUAGCAAUGACUCUUAUCUGGAGGUUGAAGGACCUUUUAAACACUUGCCUGGAUUCGUGUGCCAGGGGAUUCUUGAUGCCAUCAAGAAAACGGCACAUGUUCGAAGAGAACAGCUGUGGCUUCUUCUUCAAGAUUCUGUGACUGAAUUUGCUAUGAGAGAUAUCGGUCCUCGCAAGAUUGCAUUUGACUUCGUCAUGAAGAAGUGCCCUCGCCUUCGCCGGCUUGACGUGGCUUACUUGAGGUCAGUGGGUCCGGCUACCAUCAUCAGACUCAUCCCCAACCUCAAACACAUCAUGGUGCUUAACCUCAGCAUGACAGAGACCGUCGACCAGGUCCUGGAACAAAUCGGGCUAAACUGCCCCGAGAUCCGCGAGCUGGACAUCUCCAACACCGCCAUUUCCGAGCGCGGUCUUCCCAAGCUCUGCUACGAUGCCGCCAACGACCGCUCUCUGUGCCAAAAGCUCGUUAAGAUCUGCAUCAUGGGCUGCAUCAUCACCCCGCGGCCCGUUAGCUUCUUGUUGCAGUAUAUUCCGACUUUGAGGGAGAUCGAUUAUGAUAAUAUAUUCCAGGUAUUCAAUGUCAUGAAGAAUGGGGUUUGACCGCAGCGAACAUCGGCACUUGCGAAAAAUUACACCUGUGGCCCCACUUCAACGAAUGAAUUUGUUGAUCCUGAAGAUGUUGACAUUGCAAUUGAGCUAUGUCCAUAUGCUACGAACUUCACCCUCAGCAACGCCUACGUCGAGAACGACCUCCUCUACAAAGUCAUGCGCAUGGAGAACCUCACCCACCUGAGAAUCACGAACUGCGAAGGCCUCACCCUCGACUUCAACGAAGGAGUGUUACCUGUGCUC